AGUGAACGCUGGCGGUAGGCCUAACACAUGCAAGUCGAACGGCAGCACAGUAAGAGCUUGCUCUUACGGGUGGCGAGUGGCGGACGGGUGAGGAAUACAUCGGAAUCUACUUUUUCGUGGGGGAUAACGUAGGGAAACUUACGCUACUACCGCAUACGCCCUACGGGUGAAAGCAGGGGAUCUUCGGACCUUGCGCGAUUGAAUGAGCCGAUGUCGGAUUAGCUAGUUGGCGGGGUAAAGGCCCACCAAGGCGACGAUCCGUAGCUGGUCUGAGAGGAUGAUCAGCCACACUGGAACUGAGACACGGUCCAGACUCCUACGGGAGGCAGCAGUGGGGAAUAUUGGACAAUGGGCGCAAGCCUGAUCCAGCCAUACCGCGUGGGUGAAGAAGGCCUUCGGGUUGUAAAGCCCUUUUGUUGGGAAAGAAAAGCAGCAGGUUAAUACCCCGCUGUUCUGACGGUACCCAAAGAAUAAGCACCGGCUAACUUCGUG
rnacentral:rRNA from 1 species